rnacentral:RNase_P_RNA from 1 species
CGGCGCGGUAAAAAUGAUCGCCGGCGCGUCCGGAGGAAAGUCCGAACACCACAGGGCAGGGUGCUCCAUAACGUGGAGUCGCGGCAACGCGAAGGAAAGUGCAACAGAGAGCAGACCGCCCGGCAGGGGGAAGCGGCAUUCCGCGGUUUCCCAUGUCGGGUAAGGGUGAAACGGUGCGGUAAGAGCGCACCAGUUUUCCGGGUGACCGGAAAAGCUUGGUAAACCCCACCCGGUGCAAGACCAAAUAGGGGAGUGCUUGAGGGCGGCCCGUCCAAGCUCCCGGGUAGGUCGCAAGAGGUGAUGGGCAACCGUCAUCCGAAGAUGAAUGAUCAUUGCCCGGUCCCAGGUAACUGAGGCCGGGAACAGGAUUCGGCUUAUUGACCGCACUGACCG